rnacentral:ncRNA from 1 species
GACGGGGAGCCCAAUCCGGGCUGAGAGUAAGGAACGACUUAGACCCUUGACCUGAUUUGGGUAAUGCCAACGGAGGGAAAUGGAUUUA